AAGUACGCGCAUGGAAACGACGUCUAAGCGAACUUUACGGAACACAGUUCGUCCAGCUUCGGGAUAAUCACGAUGGCAUGCACAAGAUGAGUCGCGGCUGCCGUUAUUCGGGCAAGUAUCGGCGUUUAUUAACCUGCAAGGUGGUUUGUGUGGUUAUUAUACAUUUCUGGACUGCAUGUAUAGCAAGUUACUUAAUUUCCCGACACGUGGUUGGUAUGCAUGGCCGUAACUGGCAAAUUCUUGUUCGAUCCGGCCUGAAUGAUGGAACAGCUUCACAUACAGCGUCAUCUAGCGACGACUGAGUAGCACGAUCUGUACAAACUACACGACGCAUUGAUCGACCUUCGCCACACGACCUUGAACACUGAUCCAACGCGCCAGUAAACUUCCGAAUCGCAUCUUCCUCUGUCACAAUCUCUCACAGCAUAAGGGCGAGUGGUGAGUCGACAUGACGUCACGGUUUUUUCUUUGUACGUCAUCGGAUCGACGUAUGAGCAUUUAACUGGUCGUCGUUGUAUUCCAGGACCACACGAUUUGGUACACUACAAAACAGAUACCAUAUUGAACUAUGCAUGAAAUGAAAUAGUUAAUUAGGUAC